AUGAGCUCCUCCUCCUCCACCGUCUCAAACCCGUUCGCUAGUCCCGAUGUCACCCUCGUCCGCGACCUCAACAUCCAUGAGCGUGUCCCGGUGAAGCUUGAUCAAAACACCGCGUCCUACUCCGCUUGGAAGCGGUAUUUUUCGCUUGUGUUCCGUGAGCACCUCCUGCACGGCCACGUGGACGGCACUGUGGAUUCGGCGCUCAUGAUCAACGACGAGGAGUGGAUGAUCCUCGACGCCACCAUCAUCCGCUGGUUCUACCUCACCAUCUCCAGCGACAUCUUCCACACCGUGGUGGAUGACGACGACGACGCCUACGCGGUCUGGACCAAGCUCAACGGCCUUUUCACCGACAACAGGUUGCAGCGCAAGGUCCUUCUCCACGGCGAGUUUUAUGGGUGCCAGCAGCUUGACUCGUCCAUCGACGAUUUCUGCAUGCGCCUCAAGAAGCUUACCGAUGAGCUCCGUGAUCUCGGGGAGACGAUCGGCGAUGAGCUCCUCAUCAGCACCCUCACCGCCAGACUCAACGAGGAUUUUGGGAACGCCGCCUCCAACCUCACCCUCAUCCCGGAGCCUACCUUCGCUAAGGUGGUCGCGUACCUCAAGUUGGAGGAGCGCCGGAUGCGGAUGGCACGGACUCGCACAACACACACCGCCCUCGUCGCCGUCACCCGCGGGGCUCAAGGCCCGCCACCACCGCGCCUGACGCCACCCCAGUCGGCUGUGCCCGCCUUCCCGCCCGCCUUCCCACCCGCCCCGCUCGCUCCCUUCCCGCCGCCCCAGCCGGCGGCCAAUGGGGGGGGGUCGUCACGGCAGCCGUCGUGGCGGCCGCAAGAAGGGGGCGCCGGAGCUCAAGGAGGAGCACCCCGCCCACCGCAGCCCGCCUAUCAGCCAGCCCCGUGGUACGCUGGCCAGAACCCAUGGACCGGCAUCGUGCACGCCUACUCCAUGCCGGUUCCCCGUACCCCUGCUCCGGGUAUCCUCGGCGCCCGGCCACCGUCCCACCAGGCGUUCUACGCCGCGUCGCAGCCCUAUGCGGCGCCCUAUGGUCAGCAGCCGCAGCCAGGCGGGCUGCCGCUGCUGCCCCUGACGGCCCCGCCACAGCCUCUCCCGCCGGCGCCGUGGGAUGAAGCUAUGUACCUAGGGUAG
rnacentral:rRNA from 1 species